GACGAACGCUGGCGGCGUGCCUAAUACAUGCAAGUUGAGCGCUGAAGGUUGGUACUUGUACCAACUGGAUGAGCAGCGAACGGGUGAGUAACGCGUGGGGAAUCUGCCUUUGAGCGGGGGACAACAUUUGGAAACGAAUGCUAAUACCGCAUAAAAACUUUAAACACAAGUUUUAAGUUUGAAAGAUGCAAUUGCAUCACUCAAAGAUGAUCCCGCGUUGUAUUAGCUAGUUGGUGAGGUAAAGGCUCACCAAGGCGAUGAUACAUAGCCGACCUGGGAGGGUGAUCGGCCACAGUGGGACUGAGACACGGCCCAAACUCCUACGGGAGGCAGCAGUAGGGAAUCUUCGGCAAUGGACGAAAGUCUGACCGAGCAACGCCGCGUGAGUGAAGAAGGUUUUCGGAUCGUAAAACUCUGUUGGUAGAGAAGAACGUUGGUGAGAGUGGAAAGCUCAUCAAGUGACGGUAACUACCCAGAAAGGGACGGCUAACUACGUG
rnacentral:rRNA from 1 species